rnacentral:lncRNA from 1 species
GGUAGUGGGCUACAUCGGCGCUUCGAGGUGGAACAGCAAACCCCACCGUGGAUGGCGACAUCAGCCGCGGUGGCGCCCUCCUCUGUGCCUCAAGCGGCGUCCAGGGGACGCGAACUCCAUUGCCUCCGUCAAGCGGUGCCCGCGUCUGCGCCUCAAGCGGCGUCCAGGGGACGCGAACUCCAUUGACUGCGUCAAGCGGUGCCCGCGUCUGCGCCUCAAGCGGCGUCCAGCGGACGCGAACCCUGUCGGAGGUGGAGCAGCAAACCCCAGCGGCGUCCAGCGGACGCGAUCUCCAGUACGUGGCUAAGAUCCCUUUCCAUAGCAUUGGAAUCAACAGCCACGCGGACUCCCUCGACCGACCUCCACUGCAAAGUGGUGUUGAUUAGUAAUGGCCAUGACGCACGCACAGGAAAGGGAAUUGGGGAAAGCCUUAUCCUUUGCUAGUUUGCAAUUUAGCGCUUCUACUUUCCAAUAUUCUCAUAUUGGCCAUGUACGCUACAAGUAUAGGCAUCAGGCUUUACUCUAUAUACCUUACAUUUGUGUUCCC